UUUGUUGAGGGCACAACUCGUUUCAUAUCCCUCCCUCGUCCCUAUGAGAGAGAGAGAGAGAGAGAUGAUGAUGGGAGAGCGGCGCUCUGCUUCCCUCCGCUGCCGCUGCCCCUUAUACUCGUCUCCUCCGUCAUCCUCUUCCAGAAUCCAGCGAUCGGCACAAGGAGGGUGACGCGCCGCUCCCAAUCCGGCGCAUCGCCAGGGAGGGCAUCGGGGGCGGGCGGCUCAAAGGAUCGGAGUGUCGGCUGAUACUAUUCUUAUAGAAAGAUCAAAAGAUAACGUGUCCUUCUUCCUGAAGCAAACAGGGAGAAAGAAAUGUGGGGCGGCAGCCAUGGGAGACACGAGGGGAGGUAAGAACGAUUCUUUCAUCUCUUUUCUUCCCUCUCUGUGUCAGGCCAAAAAGACCGGUGGGGGCGGCGAGGUGGAGCCCCGCAGGUCACCCUCUUUUCGCCGACCAGACCUAACCGGGCCCCAAUACCCACGCAUUAUAUCUCAUCCUUUGUCAUUUGUCCGGUGGAGACCCGCGUGUCUCGAUGGAGCCAGGAAACAGCAGUUUCUUUGCCGACACGGCACCGUGACUCGGGGCUCUUGAGGACCAUCUCCUUUAUGUGGUGGGGAGACAUGUUCCCUGUCUCGGCCCAGAAAGAGGAGCGGCAGCCUCCACUAUCUCUUGUUGCGUUGGAUGGCGAGGACGGGUCUUUUCAUUUGCAGUAGCUCGCCUUCAUCACGACCGUUCGUUCCUCUUGCGACCGGAUCCCAUGAUAUAUUUAUUAUAUAUUUAAAAUCGCAAGACGCAGUCGUCCAUCCAUCGCUUAUCGCAAA